rnacentral:rRNA from 1 species
UACGAAGGGGGCUAGCGUUGUUCGGAAUUACUGGGCGUAAAGCGUAUGCAGGCGGACUUUUAAGUCGGGGGUGAAAUCCCGAGGCUCAACCUCGGAACUGCCUUCGAUACUGGAAGUCUUGAGUCCGGGAGAGGUGAGUGGAACUCCGAGUGUAGAGGUGAAAUUCGUAGAUAUUCGGAAGGACACCAGUGGCGAAGGCGGCUCACUGGCCCGGUACUGACGCUGAGAUACGAAAGCGUGGGGAGCAAACAGG